rnacentral:rRNA from 1 species
UACGAAGGGGGCUAGCGUUGUUCGGAAUCACUGGGCGUAAAGCGCUCGUAGGCGGAUCUUUAAGUCAGAGGUGAAAUCCCAAGGCUCAACCUUGGAACUGCCUUUGAUACUGGGGAUCUCGAGUCCGGGAGAGGUGAGUGGAACUGCGAGUGUAGAGGUGAAAUUCGUAGAUAUUCGCAAGAACACCAGUGGCGAAGGCGGCUGCAGCUGGCC